GUCACCCACCGCCGUCAUGGGGAAUGGAUAAUUUUCACGCAAAUUGGCGGUAUGGUGUAUAAUGGAACGGGCAAAGAUGACGCUACCUGCAUCCUGCUUGGCGCGAUGGCCAAUAACGAUAUUGAUGAUGUUCGGCGCCGGUACCGUCAUGCGUAACGAGUUCUGUUCCACGCGCCGUACAUCAUCAACCAGUACGAGAAUCCGAUGCCGAUUUCGGUGCAAUCCUGGAUCCGCAUCGACGGAUCGGGUAACAUCGACACCGCUGGACGCAGAGCGAUGACUAACCCGCAAUCCCGUACCGGAAACUGGAACCUGCAGGCCGUCGUAGGCAGUGCUGGUACUGGUUUUCGCACUUGGACUGUCCGUUUGUUGGCGUUCACAACGACCUGAAUCAUCGUGCUCAAUCAACUGUGGCCUGAAGAAGCCAACGACGUCAAUGCGGCCCAAGUCCAUCGCUUUACGCAUGUACCCCCCCUCCCCCCCUCCCCGGUGCUGGAGGAAAAAAUCGCAAAGUGCGGGAAAAGGUUACUACGGCCGUACUAUCGGAUGAAACUCGUGCCGAACACCGCGAAGGCGACAAGAAGGAAGCGAAGGAAGGUGCCAAGACGGCCUCAAAGGGUAAAACGCAGCGUUCGGUAGCAAGCUUAACACGGCCAAGGUGGAGGUGCAAGCUUUAUACAUCGCAACACCGGUCAAGGAGGAAUUGAAGACGGAUAAUUCGACUAACUCUGGAACGGCUUUUCGCGCACCAGCUAUUGCUACCGAGAACGACCGGCAACAGAUAAGGUAGCAGACAGGACAGUGAACAAAACGUCCAGAGAACCGGAAGUGCUGUAACGUUCGAGUGUGUGAAACAUGAUGCUUAAAACCUGUACCUUGAACCCAUUGAUGCGGCGUGCUUUUCUUGCGUUUGAUUUGUGAUUGUACAAUACAAUUUGUACUACAAUGUUUCAAUUCGUUUUAAAUAUUAAAAACAAGCUGUGUGCUCUCUCUGAAUGUCUCAUUAAUAA